rnacentral:rRNA from 1 species
GACGAACCGUGCGAACGUUAUUCGGAAUCACUGGGCUUAAAGCGCGUGUAGGCGGGCCGGCACGUCGGUCGCUGAAAUCCCCCCGGCUCAACCGGGGAAGGGGCGCCGAUACGACCGGCCUGGAGGGGGGUAGGGGGCGCCGGAACUCACGGUGGAGCGGUGAAAUGCGUUGAGAUCGUGAGGAACGCCCGUGGCGAAAGCGGGCGCCUGGACCCCGCCUGACGCUGAGACGCGAAAGCCAGGGGAGCGAACGGG